CUUGAUCGUGACUCGAGCACGCCGCGUGAGGUGAUGAGGCCUUCGGGUCGUAAAGCUCUGUUGUUAGGGAAGAACAAGUACCAGAGUAACUGCUCGUACCUUGACGGUACCUAACCAGAAAGCCCCGGCUAACUACGUGCCAGCAGCCGCGGUAAUACGUAGGUGGCAAGCGUUAUCCGGAAUUAUUGGGCGUAAAGCGCGCGCAGGCGGUUUCUUAAGUCUGAUGUGAAAGCCCACGGCUCAACCGUGGAAGGUCAUUGGAAACUGGGGAACUUGAGUGCAGAAGAGGAAGGUGGAAUUCCACGUGUAGCGGUGAAAUGCGUAGAGAUGUGGAGGAACACCAGUGGCGAAGGCGGCUUUCUGGUCUGUAACUGACGCUGAGGCG
rnacentral:rRNA from 1 species